AAAGUAGGUCAGGUGAUCGCGUUCCGACGUGUCGGAAUGAGGAAAGUCCGAACUCCAUAGGGCAGGAUGGUCCGUAACACGGACUCGUUGUGAAACGGGGAAAGUGCCACAGAAAACAAACAUUCCACCCCCGGUGGAUUAAGGUGAAAAGGCGAGGUAAGAGCUCACCGCUUCUGUGGUGACACAGAAGGCAUGGUAAACCCCAUCUGGAGCAAGACCAAAUAGGAGGGAAAAGGCUGCCCGCCUUGUCUGACCCUCGGGUAGGUCGCUCGAGAUUGUCGGCAACGACAAUCCCAGAUAAAUGAUCACCCGCUCGAGUGAUCGAGUGACAGAAUUCGGCUUAUCGACUUGCUUUGCUA
rnacentral:RNase_P_RNA from 1 species